rnacentral:lncRNA from 10 species
CUCAGUCUCCUCAAAUUCUGCACACAUAAAACUUCAGAGCCUGGGAGCGACCCAUGAAACGCAGGUUUUUAAGGACAAAACAAUAGGACAAAAGUGCUGUAUAUUGUCCUUAAGAUGACACAUGAAUUUAAAAUGCAUAGUGUUUGGAUUAUUCAUGAGAGCCCCGCAAGAACGAUGUCCCAGGGGUUUUUGCCAGGAACAUGCCUGAGAUUGUAGAUAAGAAUCAAGCAUCUGGGGCUGCCGCACAAUGGAAAACUCCAGCACUCCAUGGAACUUUUCCAUCUGCAGCAGUCGGAGGAUUUGCCUGAGAACAUACGCGGCAUGAAGACACUCUCAGCCCUCAAGGGCACCCAGUCAGCGCUGUUUAAGGACGGUUUUUCUGUUCACAGCAUACUUCAUGAUUACAGCUUCACUCCAUUGGAUACAACUAUGUUUGAGGAAUCAAGUAACAGGUCUUUCUAAAUCCUUUUAUUGGAUAUAUGUUAGUUUUCCAUUAUCAUAAAAGACUGAGGAACAGGAACAGCAGCAUAUUGUUUAAAUGAUUCACAGGACAUUGUGCCCUGAAGGUGAAAUUGGACAGCCUUGGUUAAAAUCCCAACAUCUGGAUACCAGAAUCUGAGCAGCAAAAUCCACGGAGACACAUGUGCAAUUUUAUGCCUGCAAGCUCACUAUUAUUUAGAACGAAACCAACGUAGUGCAUCUACCCUUGUUUCUUGCUACACAGAAUGUAUCCAGAGUACAAACUAAUGUAGAUUAUUAUAAAACUCAGUGUGUAGAUAUUAUAUAUAUAUACACAUGCAUACAUACACGCACAUAUAUAACUAAAACAAAAUCUUCAAAAAUAAUACUUUUUCUUUCUGUAUGUGAUGUGCCCUGAUAGUUUCCACUUUACUCCAUCCCAUUUCCUUUUGUUAAUACUGGCCUUGACUCACUUAGACAAAUGGGUCAUGACCUGUAGUUUGGAAAACAGGGCUUUCCAGCCUGGCUUUAAAGAGGCUGGUCCUCAGGCCAGCAGAACCAGCAGCACCUGGGGGUAGUUUGUGGCGCACAAUCUCAAGGCCUGCCCUAGACCUACUGAACUAGGAUCUGCUCUUAGCAAGGUCCCCAGGUGACUUAUGGAUGUAUUAAAGUUUGAGAAGCCGUCCUCCUGCAUGCAAAAGUACAGAAUGAGUAUCUGUGAUCUGAACUACAUUUAAAUCGAUAAUGCACCUCUUAAACUGUCUUUGUUCAAAGAACUUCUAUCCUACUGAGCUCAAGGAGCAACACAGUUUCUAGCAAGAUAGGUGCAAAGAAAAAUUCACUUUCAAUUUCAUCAACUGCUUCAAGAGGUUGCAGGGACUGGCUGACCUGGUAUCCCAGCUCCUGCAGGACCGAGAGUGUGGGAGGUGGGUUGAGGGGAGGUACUGAAUUGACUGCAAUAGAUCCAUGAGCAUAUAAAAGUGUGCGUGUUUGUUCUUAUUCCUGGGAGAAAAUAUAUAGUAUUCACCUAAUUUUAAAAGAGUUUUAUGGUUUAAAAAGUUAAGAAGAGCUACUAAGCCAUGAAAAGACGAGGAGGAAGCUUAAAUGCACAUUACUAUACCAGAUAAGAAAAUCUGAAAAGGCUACAUAGUGUAUGAUUCCAACCAUAUGACAGUCUGGAAAUGGCAAAACUAUGGAGAUGUAAAAAGAUCAGUGGUUGUCAGGGCCUAGGAGGUCGGGAGGGAUGAACAGACACAGCUCAGUGAAUUUGAG